AACAUAAACACGAAAAAAAGACAUGAUAAGUAAAGAUAAAUGGUCCACAAUUAAAUGCAAGAUUAUUUGAAUCAUCGACAUGAAAAGGAUGAUAUUGAUCCAAAGCUGAGCUGAAAGUCUGCAAUUUUUUACCUUAAUGGCUUAGAACUGCCCGAUUUGAUUUUAAUUAUACUCCAGUGUGAAUGAUAAAAUUUAUAUAUUUGCUGGUGAUUAAGAUUUUAUCUUUUCCCUAUCAAAGUUACAUCUGGACUUUAUGAUCUGAUCAAGGAACGCACACAGGUAUCAUUUUGUAAAUGGUAAAAAAGUGAAUUGAUAAUUAACGAGAGAUUUGGAGCAAUUUAUCUUCAUAACCAAUCAUACUAUUAUGUAUUGGGAGUUCAAGCUCAUCAAAAUAAUGGAUACAAAGAUCAGAUUGACAGGACUAAUUUAAUGGAUUAUUAUGUUAAUGAUGAUAAUCUCGAUUGAUCACGCAAACAUUUAAUAAUGGCAACAUAAAUGGUGGAAUGAAUUAAGAGUCUAAUU